AUACCGUGAUGAGGAAAUUUUCUCAACUGCUCCUUGAACCUUUCCAAAGAGUCGUAUAAAGAUUCAUCAUCUAACUAAUAGAAGUUAUUAAUAUCCCCCCUCAAUUU